UACGUAGGGCGCAAGCGUUGUCCGGAUUUACUGGGCGUAAAGAGCGCGCAGGCGGUCGUUCAAGUCGAGUGUGAAAGCCCCCGGCUCAACUGGGGAGGGUCACUCGAUACUGAUCGACUUGAAGGCAGGAGAGGGAAGCGGAAUUCCCGGUGUAGUGGUGAAAUGCGUAGAUAUCGGGAGGAACACCAGUGGCGAAGGCGACUACCUGGCCUGUUCUUGACGCUGAGGCGCGAAAGCUAGGGGAGCAAACGGG
rnacentral:rRNA from 1 species